rnacentral:pre_miRNA from 1 species
AGGGAAUAGUUGCUGUGCUGUAAGUUAAUAUACCAUAUCUAUAUCACAGUGGCUGUUCUUUUU